rnacentral:rRNA from 1 species
UACGAAGGGGGCUAGCGUUGUUCGGAAUUACUGGGCGUAAAGCGCACGUAGGCGGAUAUUUAAGUCAGGGGUGAAAUCCCGGGGCUCAACCCCGGAACUGCCUUUGAUACUGGGUAUCUCGAGUCCGAGAGAGGUGAGUGGAAUUCCGAGUGUAGAGGUGAAAUUCGUAGAUAUUCGCAAGAACACCAGUGGCGAAGGCGGCUCACUGGCCCGGUACUGACGCUGAGGUGCGAAAGCGUGGGGAGCAAGCAGG